rnacentral:rRNA from 1 species
UACGAAGGGGGCUAGCGUUGCUCGGAAUUACUGGGCGUAAAGCGCACGUAGGCGGUUUCUUAAGUCGGGGGUGAAAUCCUGGAGCUCAACUCCAGAACUGCCUUCGAUACUGGGAAACUUGAGUUCGGGAGAGGUGAGUGGAACUGCGAGUGUAGAGGUGAAAUUCGUAGAUAUUCGCAAGAACACCAGUGGCGAAGGCGGCUCACUGGCCCGAUACUGACGCUGAGGCGCGAAAGCUAGGGGAGCGAACGGGG